GUGAAUCAUCGAAUCUUUGAACGCAUAUUGCGCUCUUUGGUAUUCCGAAGAGCAUGCUUGUUUGAGUAUCAGUAAACACCUCAAAACUCUUGAUCUUUUUCAAGCGUUUUGGACUUGAGCAAACCCAACGCCUUUUCUUUUAAGAUCUGUUGCGGCGGGUUGCUUGAAAUGCAGGUGCAGCCGGACAAUCUCCUGAGCUAAAAGCAUAUUUAUUUAGUCCCGUCAAACGGAUUAUUACUUUUUGCUGCAGCUAACAUAAAGGGAGUUUUGACCAUUAUGGCUGACUGAUGCAGGAUUUCACAGAGAAAAGGCCGGCAACGGUUUUGUCUCUGUCAAACUCGAUCUCAAAUCAAGUAAGACUACCCGCUGAACUUAAGCAUAUCAAUAAGCGGAGGA
rnacentral:rRNA from 1 species